CACGUAGGGGGCGAGCGUUGUCCGGAAUCAUUGGGCGUAAAGAGCUCGUAGGCGGCUCAGUAAGUCGGGUGUGAAACCCCCAGGCUCAACCUGGGGACGCCACCCGAUACUGCUGUGGCUAGAGUCCAGUAGGGGAGUGUGGAAUUCCCGGUGUAGCGGUGAAAUGCGUAGAUAUGCGGAGGAACACCGAUGGCGAAGGCAGCCUCCUGGGAUAACACUGACGCUCAUGCACGAAAGCGUGGGGAGCAAACAGG
rnacentral:rRNA from 1 species